GGCUCAGAUUGAAACGCGGGGGGCAGGCCUAACCCCAUCCAAGUCGAGCGGUACCACAGGGGAGCUUGUUCCUUGGGUGGCGAGCGGCGGACGGGUGAGUAAUGCCUGGGGAAUCUGCCCGAUAGAGGGGGAUAACUACGGGAAACUGUAGCUAAUACCGCAUAACGUCUACGGACCAAAGUGGGGGCUCUUCCGGACCUCAUGCUAUCGGAUGAACCCAGGUGGGAUUAGCUAGUUGGUGAGGUAAUGGCUCACCAAGGCGACGAUCUCUAACUGGUUUGAGAGAAUGACCAGUCACACUGGAACUGAGACACGGUCCAGACUCCUACGGGAGGCAGCAGUGGGGAAUAUUGCACAAUGGGCGCAAGCCUGAUGCAGCCAUGCCGCGUGUGUGAAGAAGGCCUUCGGGUUGUAAAGCACUUUCAGCGGGGAGGAAGGGUCACUAGUUAAUACCUAGUGGCAUUGACGUUACUCGCAGAAGAAGCACCGACUAACUCCGUGCCAGCAGCCGCGGUAAUACGGAGGGUGCAAGCGUUAAUCGGAAUUACUGGGCGUAAAGCGCACGCAGGCGGUUUGUUAAGUCAGAUGUGAAAUCCCCGAGCUCAACUUGGGAACUGCAUUUGAAACUGGCAAGCUAGAGUCUUGUAGAGGGGGGUAGAAUUCCAGGUGUAGCGGUGAAAUGCGUAGAGAUCUGGAGGAAUACCGGUGGCGAAGGCGGCCCCCUGGACAAAGACUGACGCUCAGGUGCGAAAGCGUGGGGAGCAAACAGGAUUAGAUACCCUGGUAGUCCACGCUGUAAACGAUGUCGAUUUGGAGGCUGUGUCCUUGAGACGUGGCUUCCGGAGCUAACGCGUUAAAUCGACCGCCUGGGGGGUACGGCCGCAAGGUUAAAACUCAAAUGAAUUGACGGGGGCCCGCACAAGCGGUGGAGCAUGUGGUUUAAUUCGAUGCAACGCGAAGAACCUUACCUGGCCUUGACAUGUCUGGAAUCCUGUAGAGAUACGGGAGUGCCUUCGGGAAUCAGAACACAGGUGCAGCAUGGCGGUCGUCAGCUUGCGUCGUGAGAGGGCGGGACAAGUCGAGCACCGAGCGCACCCCCGGUCCAUGGUUGC
rnacentral:rRNA from 1 species